rnacentral:rRNA from 1 species
CUCGCCUGUUUAUCAAAAACAUAGCUUAAGGAAUAAUAAAUCUUAGGUCAAACCUGCCCAAUGUAAAAUAAUAUCAAUGGCCGCGGUACCUUGACCGUGCUAAGGUAGCGAAAUCAAUUGGCUUUUAAUUGGAGUCAGGUAUGAAUGGAAUUACGUGGUUCAACUGUCUCCUUAAUAAUUAUUUGAAAUUACUAUAUAGAUGAAAAAGUCUAUAACAAGAAAAAAGACGAGAAGACCCUUAGAGUUUUCCUUAAAGUAAAUUUUAAUAUAUUUACAAAAGUUUAGUUGGGGCAACUAGAGAAAAUAUUAGUAACUUCUUAAAUAUAUACUAGCCGAUUAUUUUAAGUUUGUAUAAACUACCUUAGGGAUAACAGCAUUAUGUAAAAAAUAAGUUUGUGACCUCGAUGUUGGACUGGGAAACUAAAAGGCUAGCCGUUUUUUAGGAAAGUUCUGUUCGAACU